rnacentral:rRNA from 1 species
GAUAAACGCUGGCGGCGCACAUAAGACAUGCAAGUCGAACGGAAGUCGUUAUAAAAGGAGAGAAGAUUUAUCGGAUUGAAUUUUAUAACAAUGGCUUUAGUGGCGGACUGGUGAGUAACGCGUAAGGAACCUACCUAUUAGAGGGGAACAACAAUGAGAAAUCAUUGCUAAUACCGCAUAUGCCAUAACUACCGCAUGGUAGAAGUGGGAAAGGAGCAAUCCGCUGAUAGAUGGCCUUGCGUCUGAUUAGUUAGUUGGUGGGGUAACGGCCUACCAAGACGACGAUCAGUAGCCGGACUGAGAGGUUGAACGGCCACAUUGGGACUGAGACACGGCCCAGACUCCUACGGGAGGCAGCAGUGGGGAAUAUUGCACAAUGGGGGAAACCCUGAUGCAGCGACGCCGCGUGGAGGAAGAAGGUCUUCGGAUUGUAAACUCCUGUUGUUGAGGGAGAUAAUGACGGUACCUGAGUAAGA